UACGGAGGAUCCAAGCGUUAUCCGGAUUUAUUGGGUUUAAAGGGUGCGUAGGCGGAUUAAUAAGUCAGUGUUGAAAGGCUAAAGCUUAACUUUAGAAUUGGCAUAGAUACUGUUAGUCUUGAGUGCAGAUGAAGUGGGCGGAAUGUGUCAUGUAGCGGUGAAAUGCAUAGAUAUGACACAGAACACCGAUUGCGAAGGCAGCUCACUAAGUUGUAACUGACGCUGAGGCACGAAAGCGUGGUGAUCAAACAGGAUUAGAUACCCUGGUAGUCCACGCUGUAAACGAUGAUUACUCGAUGUUUGCAUGUAGAUGUAAGCGUCUAAGCGAAAGCACUAAGUAAUCCACCUGGGGAGUACGCUCGCAAGAGUGAA
rnacentral:rRNA from 1 species